AACGCACAUUGCGCCCCCUGGUAUUCCGGGGGGCAUGCCUGUCCGAGCGUCAUUGCUGCCCUCAAGCACGGCUUGUGUGUUGGGCCGCCGUCCCCGCCUCUCUCUCUCUCUUUCCGGGAGGACGGGCCCGAAAGGCAGCGGCGGCACCGCGUCCGGUCCUCGAGCGUAUGGGGCUUCGUCACCCGCUCCGUAGGCCCGGCCGGCGCCUGCCGACGACCAUCAAUCUCUUUUUCCAGGUUGACCUCGGAUCAGGUAGGGAUACCCGCUGAACUUAA
rnacentral:misc_RNA from 1 species